AGACUCUGAUCCAUCCCUGUUUUUUCUCAAUGCUGCUUUUCACCCUACUGGAAAAGCAUUGGCUCCUGCCUUGUCCUUAGAAUAUCUCUGAAUAUUUUGUUUAGCCUGUCUGGUCCCUUGUUACCUCCUUUGGCAAUCUCCUAUUGCUCUAUUGCUCCUAUAUUGCUCUAGCUCCUACCUUGAGUUGCACUCAGACUUUUAACCAGCAUACAUCUGUUCUGCAUUCUGACUUUGGGUAGCCCCCUGGUUUAGACCAAUUGCUCUAUAAUAUACACCGUAACAACACCUCUAUCCUCCUUCCAUCAAACUAGUACUUCCACAACCCCUGCCACCAACUGAUCUAUACAAAUCCCAUCGGAAUAAGGAUUUUCAUACUGGGUACUCUCUAUCUUUUCCUACCUCUGGGCUUCCCUCUACCCCAGCACUUGCCCAUUUAAACCUCAUGUUAACUCUUAAUGGCUCAGAGUGGCAAAGCAAAUGAGUCCUGGGGAGAAAGAUGCAGAAACUGAAGGGAAGAGGAGUUAAAUAAAUCAGCCAAAAUCAGAAAAGGAAGGUGGAGUCAAAAUAGUCCAGUGUUUACAGAUAGCAAAGGGCAGAGUCUGGAAGAAAGAAGGAGGUCAGUCUCUGAAGUAUGCUGCAGAAAUAUUGAGAGGAAUGAGGUCUGAGAAAAGGCUACUGAAUUUAGGGAGUUGGGGCUCCACUCAGGGCCAGUCACUAUGAGGGCUAAUUGUCUAGGAUCCAUUGUUACAGGCCUCCUGGCAUCAGGCUUUGUGUGGCCCUCUCUGGAGUCAGGUGACAGCUGACUGGCUAGGGGCAGGGGCUGUCUCAUUACUUUUACAUCCAUCACUUUAGACAGUGAUUGGGUACCAAACCAACAAAGUAAUUCUCUGCCCUUUCCCCUUUCUUCCCCAGUAAUUCCUUCUACCACCAGCUGUAACAACUCAUGAAAUUCUAUCAUUAAGGAGUUAUUCUUAGGGCUGCCUUUUCUUUUCCAAGUUCCUCCUUUCAAAUUGAAAAAAACCCUAACAAACCCAUUUUCAAAGGGUAACAUAUUAAGAAGUAACUAGCAAUCAACUAUUUGCACCUUAGUGUUGAUGAAUUUAUGAGGCUGAGUAGGACUGGUCUGGUGAAUUUUAAAGGGCAAAGAAGAAGGUAACAAUUUGGCUAAGCUUUUGGAAAGAAUAAAAAAUUGAAAACAAAGUAAAGGCCUAUCAUUUGGAAACUGGCUGAGCAACCUGUGGCAUAUAAUGGAAUAUUAUUGUGCCUUCAAUAUGAUGAAUAUGAAGAAUUCACACAAACAUGAAUAGAAUUUAAAGAGCUGAUACCGAAUGAAUAAGUAGAACUAAGAAAACAAAUUACACAAUGACUAAAACAAAGGAAAACAAUAUUGUAAAACCUUGGAACUCUGAUUGAUGUCCACUGUAGUUGUUAGAAGACUGAUGGGGAACUAUGCCUCCUGUAUUUUGGAAGACAGAUGGUAUACUAGAGAGAUUCUUAGGUUGGAUAGUUGCUGAAGUAGGAGAUUCUAAAGAGGUGAGAGGAACAAGAGAUGAUGAAAAUAGAAGAGGUAACGAGGGCAUUGAAGCAUGAAUUGGAAGAAGAAAGGCUUUGAAAAGAAGAUUAAAGAAUCCUUGGAGAUAGAACUGGGACUAUUACUGAGGAAAGAAAAAGGCAGAGUCAGGAGGAUAAGCAUGGAUAUGUUAAUUGUUCCUUUAAUACAGAAGCAGCUCUACAUUUCUGGCAUAAAACCAAUAUAUCAAGAUCAUAUUUAUAUCAUAGGAGGAAUUUGAUAGGAUCCCCUUUUUGCUAAAUUUGCAAGUUUAUAUAAUGUUGUGAUUUGAAUAUUUGACAGAAUUCAUUUGUAAAUCUGUUUCCCAGAUUAUAUUCUUUAGUAUUUUAUCUAUGGCUUAUUAAA